UACGAAGGGGGGCUAGCGUUGUUCGGAAUACUGGGCGUUAAAGCGCGCGCAGGCGGUCUUCCAAGUCAGUGGUGAAAGCCCGGAGCUCAACUCCGGAACUGCCAUUGAAACUGUUGGACUUGAGUACGAGAGAGGUGAGUGGAAUUCCCAGUGUAGAGGUGAAAUUCGUAGAUAUUGGGAAGAACACCGGUGGCGAAGGCGGCUCACUGGCUCGUAACUGCGCUCAGGCGCGACAGCGUGGGGAUCAAACAGG
rnacentral:rRNA from 1 species